rnacentral:tRNA from 1 species
UGCGGGGUGGAGCAGCCCGGUAGCUCGUCAGGCUCAUAACCUGAAGGUCGCCCGUUCAAAUCGGGCCCCCGCUACCA